rnacentral:rRNA from 1 species
AUUGAACGCUGGCGGCAUGCCUUACACAUGCAAGUCGAACGGUAACAGGUCUUCGGAUGCUGACGAGUGGCGAACGGGUGAGUAAUACAUCGGAACGUGCCCGAUCGUGGGGGAUAACGAGGCGAAAGCUUUGCUAAUACCGCAUACGAUCUACGGAUGAAAGCGGGGGAUCUUCGGACCUCGCGCGGACGGAGCGGCCGAUGGCAGAUUAGGUAGUUGGUGGGAUAAAAGCUUACCAAGCCGACGAUCUGUAGCUGGUCUGAGAGGAUGAUCAGCCACACUGGGACUGAGAAACGGCCCAGACUCCUACGGGAGGAAGCAGUGGGGAAUUUUGGAAAAAGGGCGAAAGCCUGAUCCAGCCAAGCCGCGUGCAGGAUGAAGGCCUUCGGGUUGUAAACUGCUUUUGUACGGAACGAAAAGCCUCUUUCUAAUAAAGAGGGGUCAUGACGGUACCGUAAGAAUAAGCACCGGCUAACUACGU